UUAUACUUUAGUAUUUAUGUACAAAGGUUUUUGAUACCUUAAGAAAUAAUUUAAUUUAUUAUGUAUA
rnacentral:tRNA from 1 species